GGCGAGUAGCGCAGCUUGGUAGCGCAACUGGUUUGGGACCAGUAGGUCAGAUGUUCGAAUCCCAUUAGCCACCC
rnacentral:tRNA from 1 species